GGACUACCAGGGUUUCUAAUCCCGUUUGCUCCCCUGGCUUUCGUGUCUCAGUGUCAGGAUACCCCCAGCGAGCUGUUUUCACCAUUGGCGUUCCAAAUGAUAUCUACGCAUUUCACCGCUCCACCAUUUGUUCCGCUCGCCCCUAGGUACCUCAAGACCCGCAGUAUAUCGAGCAGUUCCACGGUUGAGCCGUGGGAUUUCACAAGAUACUUACAGAUCCACCUACACACGCUUUAAGCCCAGUGAUUCCGCCUAACGCUUGGCACCUCUGUCUUACCGCGGCUGCUGGCAC
rnacentral:rRNA from 1 species